UGGUCCCGAGCAGCUGGGGAGCUGAGACCUAAGGCUCGGAGGCCGGUCCCAGCCGAGAAGCCCCGGAGAAGGCAGGCUGGCGCCACGCCGCAGCCGGGAGCGCUCACCGGCGGGGGACUCGCCGCAGCCCCUUCCCCCUCGGGCCCCUUCCCCCUGGGGGGGCCCCUCCUCCGGGGGGCCCCCUCCUCCGGGCCUCCCCCGGCCUCCCUGAAACAAAACCCUGGUUUCGGGGCCCAGAGAAGACUCAGCAGCUUCUUCCAGGGAGUCCCUGGCCCCGCUGCCAACACCACCGGACCGGGAGCAGGGCCUGGCCCCAUCCUUUUUAUCAGGGGAUGGCGACGACAGAGGGCAAGGGCGAAAACUGGGGUGACUCGGAUGCGAGUGGAAGCCCCCGCAUCUGGUAGAAGGGAGACGCGGAACGCCAGGCGUUAUAUGUCCUAGGGAGAGUGCGGGUGACCCUCCGCAACUGGGGAGCGCAAGCCCCCGGGAGCCAGGAGACUGGGUCAACCAAUGUAACAAUGCAGAGCCCUCUGUAUGCAUAAUGGAAACCCAGGGCCUCUCUCUCAAGAGCCCCAGGAAGGACGAAAGUGGAAGGGUGAACCCUGAAAUGGAGUACGGGGCAGACUAGGCUUUCUAGCAUGACACUGAGUAGUAGCAGCACCGAGCUCCAACUCCAGAGCUAAGAGAAAUGGUUUGAAUUCCACGUCCUCCUCUCAAUAGCCGUGGGAACUUGGAUAAAGUAUUUUAUCUCUGUGAGCCUAGGUUUCUUUCUUUCUCUUUCUGAAAGGGAGGACAGGAAGGACACCUUCCUUACAGGGUUGACAUGAGGCAGAAAUGAAGUCAUGCAAUUUUAGCACCUGGCUUGGUGGCUGAUACAUAGCAUAAGCACUCAGUAAAUGUUAGUUAUUUGUGUGUAUUAUGUUUAUACAUGGGAAAAGUAAAAAACCUUAAAAAAUAAUUUUUAAAAACUUUGCUUAAAAUUCACUAUUUGCAUUAAAGGACACUUAGAAAACAACAAAAAGUCUCCAGAAAAAUCAGUGUCUCUGAAACAGGCUGGAACUAGAAUGGCCAUAAAGCAAACUGGGCUUUAGAUGUGUCAACAUUUGAAUGAAAACUGCUGGAAGGGAACGGUAUCGAACAAGGAGCCACAACCAUGAGAAAUACAAAGCUAAUGAAAGAAAAUAUAGAUUAUUUUCUAUUGAUCCUGGGGAAUUGAACUCAGGGCCUUAGGAACAGUAAAUGCAUGAUCUACAACUGAGCCGAGCCACACCCCAGGCUUAGAGGUUUUUUGAAGAAAACAAACCCCACAAAACUGGCUAGGUCAGACCACAGGAUAACUGAUCAAACGACAAAGCAACAAGCAUAAGAAAAGCAAGCAAACCAGAAAAUAGGAGGGAAGAGUGUGUGGUUGCAUAAGCAGGGGAUGUUAGGCCUGGGGAGGUUAUCAGAGGGGCCUGGGGCUCUGACAGCAAGGCUGAAGAGUGAGUGGGAAACAGCCUGGGGCAGAAGUUGGCCCCAAGUUGCACAAAGGUCUUCCAGGAUCCAGGCUAUGGGCCAUCCCUGGGAGCUCCAAAAAGCAACGGUUUACAGCAACAGGUGUACAAGAGAAGCUGAGCGAGGGAACAGGACCAUGAGCCUGCCACUGAUUGGACCAGAGCUAGGAUCCUGGAUCUCCUCACGUAGACUUGAGUGGUUUGACCUUUCAACAGAACAGCCUGAUCUGUUUUGUACCAACGACAUAAUAGAGGCUGCACACACGAAAGAAAGGAAUUACCACCAUUGCCAAGGUUCUCAAUAGAGCCGAGAGCCCUCCCAUCCAGCAUGGUAGAGGUGGCCGCAAGAAGUUACAGAGAGGAGGACUGCAGGGGUCUCCCAAGCUCCUGAUGUGGGUCUGAGGAGAGGCUGACAGCUUAAGAGCAGCCUCCUCAGACAAGUCUCCCAGGACACUGGCCAAUACUUCUUUUCCUAUCCCAGUCAUCAACUUCCUAGGAACUCUCCCAAUCCCUGGCACCUAAGCCUGACUGGGCAAGUGAGCUGACUCCCAGACUGUCACCCCAUUCCAGGUACCCUUCAAAGUUUGAUUGCCCCCAUUCUAAGUUGCACACUCAAACAUCCAGAGACCAGGCAGACAAGAAAAAUGAGUAAGGCAGGCUGAACAUCAGGCACCGGAAGGGAGGUGGUGGCACAGGAGAAACUGCCCACCAAUCUGAAGGGGAUAACAUUUACUUAGCUCCCGCUGACCGUUGCCAUGGAAAAAAGGUAGGCUGAUAUCGUCAGGGCUUCUGGUUUUGGGCAAGUAGCAAAAAAAUCUGGAUUUCUAUGUGAAAUCUUCUUUUAAAUUUCAGUAACCAACUAUAAUUAAUCUCCAGGGUUGUUUGGGUAGGAGGCAGCAGAGAAUUUUAGAGUUGAAAUGUCCUUGAAGUACAUUGAGCCCAAACUCUUCAUCUUACACAUGAACAAAAUGAAACACAGAAAGGUUCAGUGAGCUCCCAAAGGCAACAGAGCAACUUAAAUGCUCAACCCUGGGCCUCCUAACUUCCAGGCACAGCUUGUUCCUUGAGAUCCCCUUCCCUUAGGAGGCCUCUGAGAUUAUUCAGGCAUGAGACGAUGAUAUGUUGAACGGAGAUGGUGACCUUGGGAAGAAAGUGGGUAAACUUUACUGUGGCCUUGGCUUAAUUUAAAAAAAAAGUUUUUGUUUAUUCUUUUGUCCAUCCAUCCAUCCAUCCAUCCAUCC